AGCGAAUAGAUACCCUGGUAGUCCACGCCGUAAACGAUGAGUGCUAGAUGUUGGGGGUCCCGUCUCAGUGUCGCAGCUAACGCGUUAAGCACUCCGCCUGGGGAGGUACGGCCGCAAGGUUAAAACUACAAAGGAAUUGACGGGGGCCCGGCACAAGCGGUGGAGCAUGUGGUUUAAAUUCGAAGCAACGCGCAGAACCUUACCAGCCCUUGACAUGGGGAGUGUGGGCCUGAGAGAUCGGGUCCUUCAGUUCGGCUGGCUCCCACACAGGUGCUGCAUGGCUGUCGUCAGCUCGUGUCGUGAGAUGUUGGGUUAAGUCCCGCAACGAGCGCAACCCUCGUCUUCAGUUGCCAUCAGGUAGGGCUGGGCACUCUGAAGAAACUGCCGGUGACAAGCCGGAGGAAGGUGGGGAUGACGUCAAGUCCUCAUGGCCCUUACGGGCUGGGCUACACACGUGCUACAAU
rnacentral:rRNA from 1 species